rnacentral:rRNA from 1 species
CCUACGGGAGGCAGCAGUGGGGAAUAUUGCGCAAUGGGCGAAAGCCUGACGCAGCGACGCCGCGUGAGGGAUGAAGGUCUUCGGAUCGUAAACCUCUGUCAGCAGGGAAGAACGGUCAGUGGGCGAAGCAGCAGUGAAUGGACGGUACCGGCAAAGGAAGCACCGGCUAACUCCGUGCCAGCCGCCGCGGUAAGACGGGGGGUGCGAGCGUGAAGCGGAAGUACGGGGCGGAAAGCGCUCGUAGGCGGUAUGUCAAUGCCCGGGUGAAAGCCCCGCGCGCAACGUGGGAACGGCCUUUGAAACUGGCAACCUGGAGUGUGUGUGAGGCUAGUGGAAUUCCAGGUGUAGGAGUGCAAUCCGUAGAU